rnacentral:lncRNA from 1 species
GUGUCCUUUGUGCUUUCAAUUCCGAAGUAGAAAAAUGGAGAAAGGCUAGCUAAAGACUUAAAUUUUAACGAUUUUCGAGAGGCAACCCAAUUUGUUUUGAACAAUUUUUAUUUUCGAAUUUUGAAUUAUUUUAGUUGUUAGGAUUUUUAUCAAUUUUGUUUUUAUUUUGUCUCAAAUUUAAUUUAGUUAGUGAAUUUUUAGAGUUAAUUAUUUGGUAGUUUAGGAAUUAUUUUUAUUUUUAUUUUUAACUACUUUUCCUUUGUUUUCA